CUCUUCGGGGAUGAUUAAACCGGCGCACGGGUGAGUAACACGUGAGUGACCUGCCUUUUAGACUGGAACAACUUACCGAAAGGUGAGCUAAUGCCGGAUGAGUUAUAUAAGUGCAUGUUUAUAUAGGAAAAGUUGGGGAGACCUGACGCUGAAAGAUGGACUCGCGUCCCAUUAGCUAGUUGGUAGGGUAAUGGCCUACCAAGGCGACGAUGGGUAGCCGGCCUGAGAGGGUGGCCGGCCACACUGGGACUGAGACACGGCCCAGACUCCUACGGGAGGCAGCAGUGGGGAAUUUUGCGCAAUGCUCGUAAGAGUGACGCAGCGACGCCGCGUGAAUGACGAAGGCCUUCGGGUCGUAAAGUUCUUUCGACAGGGAAGAAAAUGCCUAUAAGUAACUGUGUAUGUAUUGACGGUACCUGUAUAAGCAGCCCCGGCUAACUCCGUGCCAGCAGCCGCGGUAAUACGGAGGGGGCGAGCGUUGUUCGGAGUGACUGGGCGUAAAGAGCACGUAGGCGGUGUUGUAAGUCAUUAGUCAAAGACUAGAGCUCAACUUUAGUAAGGCUAGUGAUACUAUAAUACUAGAGUAUCAGAGAGGAUUGCAGAAUUCCUGGUGUAGCGGUGAAAUGCGUAGAUAUCAGGAGGAAUACCGUUAGCGAAGGCGGCAAUCUGGCUGGAAACUGACGCUGAGGUGCGAAAGCGUGGGUAGCAAACAGGAUUAGAUACCCUGGUAGUCCACGCUG
rnacentral:rRNA from 1 species